UACGGAAGGCAGCAGUGGGGAAUAUUGCACAAUGGGCGCAAGCCUGAUGCAGCCAUGCCGCGUGUAUGAAAAAGGCCUUCGGGUUGUAAAGUACUUUCAGUCGUGAGGAAGGUGUUAAGGUUAAUAACCUUAGCAAUUGACGUUAGCGACAGAAGAAGCACCGGCUAACUCCGUGCCAGCAGCCGCGGUAAUACGGAGGGUGCGAGUGUUAAUCGGAAUUACUGGGCGUAAAGGGCACGCAGGCGGUUAAUUAAGUUGGAUGUGAAAUCCCCGGGCUUAACCUGGGAAUGGCAUUCAAGACUGGUUAGCUAGAGUCUUGUAGAGGGGGUAGAAUUCCAUGUGUAGCGGUGAAAUGCGUAGAGAUGUGGAGGAAUACCGGUGGCGAAGGCGGCCCCUGGACAAAGACUGACGCUCAUGUGCGAAAGCGUGGGGAGCAAACAGGGAUUAGAUACC
rnacentral:rRNA from 1 species